rnacentral:rRNA from 1 species
UACGGAGGGUGCGAGCGUUGUCCGGAAUCAUUGGGCGUAAAGGGCGCGUAGGUGGCGGGACAAGCGUGCGGUGAAAUCCUGGAGCUCAACUCCAGAACUGCCUUUGAUACUGAGGAUCUUGAGUCCGGGGAGAGGUGAGUGGAACUGCGAGUGUAGAGGUGAAAUUCGUAGAUAUUCGCAAGAACACCAGUGGCGAAGGCGGGUCUCUGGACAGUUCCUGACGCUGAGGCACGAAGGCC